UGUACCACAGCUUAUAGGUCAAGCAGCUAUCAGAGAUUUUAUAUCUGCUAAUAGUAGUAUCGCUAAAUAUAUCGUCUGCAGUGCGAACAGGGUGAUGGACGUGGCUCUUCAUCAUUUCCAGUUGCGCUUGUCGCUCUGCACGCACUUGUUAUGAGAUGGCCUGAUUAUUGGCUUAUCUCACAAUUAUGCCCAAAUGUGUCUCUCACUAGCAGUGCACCACCGUGUUAGCAUUCCUACGCCCUGUCUUUAGGCUACUCUUAGCCUAGCGGUCCCUGUAAUACAGAGGGCGGCGUUCACUAGGGUCUCUGAUAUAGGCGACCCAUAGACUGUACCUAGGAGCUCAACGUUACCGGCGAAAGUACGCAACUGUGAAUUUUUAACUAGCCGGUUAAAUGUAUACUAUUGCCGACUAAACAUUCAAUAUCUUGACAAAUAAAGAUAUUAUUAGUUUAUGAUUUUAUUUACUUGUUGUUCUCAGAGAAACACUGUAUAAACAUAUUAUAGAUUAUUUGUAACUUGACCUAACACAUGAAAUACGACGAUAUUAUUCACAUUGCUCAUGUAUAGGAAUGCAUAGUAGGUAUUGUUAACGUGUAUUGGAUAUUUUCCAAUUAAAAUAUUACGAUCUCAUACCUA